AUAGUGUCCUUCUCUGUAGUAUCUCCAAUAGCAUAUUUCAUCUUCUUAUUAGCUCUAACGUCGCCGGAAUCUGAUGAUUUCUUCGGCUCAAUUAGCUUUAAUUUCUUCUUCAAAUCUUUGUAUGAUAAGAAUUUGUCUCGCCAUUCAGGUAAUGUUUCUUCUAUUUGAUUGCUUAAGCUUUUUCCAAACUUCAUUUGUUCAAAUAUAGAGGGAAUCACACACAAAAAAGUGUGACUUUGAGAGAAAUCACACACAGUGAACGUGUGAUUUGAGAAAAAAUACGCAGAGUAACACACACUGAAUUGAAGUGUGAUUUGAGAAAAAACACACAGUGAAGGUGUGAUUUUGAGAGAAAUUAUACACAGUAACACACAGUGAAGGUGUGAUUUUGAGGAAAAAUACACGCAGAGAAAGUGUGAUUUUGAGGAAAACUACACACGGUAACACAUAGUGAAGGUGUGAUUUUGAGAGAAAUUACACACAGUGAAGGUGUGAUUUGAGAAAAAAUGAGGGGAACAUAUGAAUUUGAGAGGUUGAUAUAAUGGUGUUUUGUAUGUGUGGAGUGAAAAAAAAGAGGGAGAAUAUUGAGUGAGUUGGGGGUUUAGUUGGGAAUAUUCUCUUCUUGUGCUUCUUUCCUUUUUUAUUUUUUAAAAUACUAUUAUUAUUAUUAAAAUAUUAUUCACUUUUGCCACUUCAAUAGAUCUUCACAAAUUAAAAGCGCUGCUUCGACCUUAACUAUCAAGCUAUGUGAUGAAAAUUUCCUCAAUCAAUUGUCACUCAACAGCUCGAAAUAUUUCGACUGAAGAAUUAUGAUCCAUCAAAGAAAAGAAAAGGAAAAAAUAUAUCGCGAUGCACCUCUCUUUGGUUAAGCUCCGGGAGAUGCUUAAGUUGACUUUCUUUAGAAGCCACAUCGAUAAUAUAUCGUUCUAGAUUUCACUUGUGAUAUAAUAUUGGUUAUGUUCUUGUGUCUAUAUCGUAUUGUUAAAUUCAUUGUAUUGUAUCAUUUUAGGCUUUACCCAUGAGAUAUGUUGUUUUAUAUCUCAAUUCAUUGUCGUGUCAUAAUAAAAAACCUCAUUUUAUGUAACAAAUCACGUGAGAUGUAUAUGUUAUAUUAGUAAAAUCAUGUGAGAUUUAUCAUGUUAAAUGCGUGUAUUUAUUUAAUUUUAUAAUAGUUUAAUUGUGUAUUUAUGUAUACUUAAAAUAAUAUAUUACAAUAUAAUGAUAUAAGUUAUUUGAGCUAAGAAUUUAUUGGAAACAAUAAUUGUAUUAUCAGGACAUAGGGCUAAAAUUUUGCAUAGCUUUUAUCCUAAACUCUAUAAGUUAUUGUUACAAUUGUUUGAUAUAAUGUAAUAGAAUAUAAUAGUAAUAAGUUAUUAAAUAAUAUGUUAUAGGCGCCCUAACUAUUAAUGUUUGUGAUUUGGUUUAUACAUAUUUUUCCUUUAACUUAUCCACUCAUAAAAACCUCAUUUUUAUCUUUUUUAUCUUUAAAUAUAUUUUGAGCAAUUUAGAAAAUUCAAAUAUAACUCUUGUUAUCACUAAAAGAAUAUUUUUGACCCUUUUAAGAUAAAAGGUAAAAUAUGUGGAGAAUAUUAUGAAUGAGGGUGAUGAAUGGAAUCAAUAUGAAUUACAGUGAAAUAGUAGUAAUCCUCUACUUUUAACUAAAAAAUUCAUAUUCUAAUUCGAGUAUGGAAAUUUUUUUUAUUGGCCACUCUAUAAAAUUGAUAUCAAACAUUGAACCCUUUAAAUUAGUCCGUAUUUUUAUUUCUAAAUCUUUCAAUGAAAAUUCUGACUCCAUAUCUGUCCACCGAAUAUAAGGGGGUAUAGUUGAGAAUAUUCUUUUAUGGUGCCAUUUUAUUUGAUAUCUAGAAGAGGAUAUCUUUUGGUUUAUGCUUUAUAUAUUCUUUUUUUUAUUUCAACAGGUAGGCUAUUGGUGGGGCCCUUUGGAUUUUGUAUAUAGUGACGUGGCAGUUAGUUAACAGUUUGAGCUGGUGAGCUAUAUUGCUUAUCAUAUUCUAUCUUAGAUACUCC
rnacentral:lncRNA from 1 species